GAGAAAUUCGCCCUCACGGGUGAUUCUCCAACCCUAUGUUAUUGUACCUUCGUUGCUUUGGCGAGCCGCCUCGUGCCACCGACUCUCGCCGGUGAGUGCUCGCCAGGGGACUUAGACUCUUGAAUUUAAUAUUGUCUGAGUACUAUAUAAUAGUUAAAACUUUCAACAACGGAUCUCUUGGUUCU
rnacentral:misc_RNA from 1 species